CGGGGAGGGCACAGCUUUGGAGCUUUCUCGCUGCGAGGCUGAACCUUGGCAGAGGCAGGAGCAGCAUAUUGCUCUCUCUUCUGGCUGCCUUUCUGCAGCUGUCCAGCUUGUUAAAGCAAAGAGAGGGAGGACGUUUGCAGUUAGACAAGCCUUCUACUUCUUCAGUAAGGAUUUAAACCAAGUCUAUUAUCGUGAAAUUAUCUGUUAUCACAUCUUUCCUGUCUUAAUCUGCCUGUAUCCUUUCCCUUUCAGAUCAAAGGGUCCUGGUCGAAUAAGAGGGGUUCAGAGUUUGCCAAUCCCUACAGCCAUAAAAGUAUCCUCACAAACUGCUGUGCAGUACUGUGUGGACCAUUCCAUCCCAGUUUGAUAGACAGAAGAGGAUUUAUCCAGCCAGAUGUCGGGACCCCGGCCAGUCCUAAGAGCGAAAUCCCUUCCUUUGGAGCCAAAACUGACACCAGCAUGGUAGGAGGCAUUCCCUAGCAGUGCUGUGAUGUAGCCCAGUGCCUGCUGUGCCUGCACCUCGCUCCAGCCAGUACCUUCCCCUCUUACCAUCUCCCCAGCCUCAGGCAGGACAGCCCUGUGAUGCAGAGCUGCCAAAGACUCGGUCGAGCCAUAUGUUGCCUUUCUUUUUUUUUUUUUUUUUUUUUUUUUUUUUUAAGUUUAUUUAUUAUUUUUUGUUUCACUGUGAUGUGGCCUGUCUGGACUUUGGACUGAGAGAGCCCAACAGCAUGCAAGACCCUCAGAUUUGUGCAGAAAGCAGGGGGUUCCUGCUGCACCUGGGAAGCGAAUAGGUCUGGGGAGCCACCAGACCUUCUGAGUCCGGAGCGUCUGCUCCCGGGGAUCACUGUUUCCUGCCAGGAGUAAUGAGGUGGGCUGAUGAUGGGAGCUGGGGACUGGCAAAGGGUUCCUGCUCUGAGCUGGGCUGUCACAGCUCAUCUUCUGGGCUGGUGGAGGCAUAAGUUCCCUGGUAUCCCUGUUAUCUUCAUGAACAUGUCCUGCUCCCCUGUGCUGACGUGGAAGGACUGUUCUGUCUCUUAACGGCUGGGUUCUCACCUUGACCGCUGCCGGAGUGGCUUUUCUUUUCCAGAAGUGAUUGUGCCUCGGUAAUUUGGGGCUCUUUAGCUGGGAGGACUCUGGCUCCCAGCAGAUGUGGAAGAAGCUAGCUAGAUGUCCCAGCUGCUGUUGAUCCUAUUUUCUGGCUGGUCACUG
rnacentral:lncRNA from 1 species